rnacentral:lncRNA from 1 species
AGACUUCCUGCUGUGGUCUAUGAAUAAAUUUAUCUUAUUUUGUGCCGCUACAUUGACCCCAUCUUCCGCUUUCACAUCUCACACUAACUCGAAGACAUUCGUAUACAUGUUACUGCUGCCAAUGUAAAGCUUUUCUCAGACUCAGUUAAGAAGAUGUUUUCUAAAUGUUGUAUGUGGGGUUUCCUGAAAUUCAUUGUAUUUUUCCUCUAUUUGCAGGGUAAGUGGUAAAACUAAUUGUUGAUGAUCUACGCAAUUGAAUUAAUCCGCUGAUGUAUUGUAUAUAAUCAUGUUAGUUGGGCGUCUUAGACUUACGCCUAUAUUCUAAAAGCUCACUCACGCUCACACUCAAAGACUAGAGGUUCAAUCUGAGCUUCCCCUGAGUGUCAGUGCUGCUUUGAAUAGCUGGAUGGUUAGUGUCGUACUUACUAUGCAACUACUCACCCUCCAGCUAUUCAAAAACAGCACUGACACUCAAGGGAAGCUCAAACUGAACCUCCACUCUCUUUGAGUGUGAGUGAGCUUCUAGAAUACAUGCGUUAGUCGCAGUAAACCUGUAUUUCACGAGGGAAAUGUACUCAUAUUAGCCACGGAAGUUUUCUAACAUAUAUUGUAAUAUAAACAAACUGUCAAAUAUAAUAUAGCGUGAGCAGUGUAUACUUAUAGUUAAUACAUGCAUAUGAAGAAUGAUAUUAAGAAAACAAAGAGUUAAUCCAACUAGUAUAUGAUCUUUGUUAUACCCCAUAAACAACACCAUAUAUAUUAUAGUAUAUUAAAAUAUUUCUCCUGUACUAGUAAACUGGAAUGCCUUUUGAGAUUUCAACCAUGUUUCACUUUAGACACAGAUUGCGAGGGUCGGGUACUCAGGUUACUAAAACCUAUAUUUACUUCCGCGAUUGUCAUUGUCAUUAAUUUGGUGCAUUGAUUAUACACUAGACUGAUAAUGAAUGUAAAGUUCAUUUUGUUACGGCUAAAUUACUCGGUCUACCUUGCAGGAGAGACUUUAUUUUUAAAGUUUCAUCAGUCAACGUCAUGUUUGAUACUUCUACACUACAUAAUUGAUUCAUUUCGUUUUCCGCUUUCACAUCUCACAAUACUCGAAGACGUUCGACUAGACAUCUUAUUGCGAUUGUCAUUGACAUUAAUUUGGUGCAUGCAUUUCAUUAUACACUAGACUGGUUAUGAAUGUAAAGUUCGUUUUGUGAUGGCUAAAUUACUCGGUCUACCUUGCCGCACAAGUCUAAAACAUACUUUAUUUUUAAAAGUUUCAUCAGUCAACGUCAUGUUUGAUACUUUCCCAGAAUCCACAGCGAUCUUGUUUUAUACUUUCUGAGUUUUGCCUAGUUUGUCAAGACAUGCCGGUUCGUUUGUCUGUAUAUCAUCACACGGUCAUCCUUGAAUCAUCAUCAUACAUUGUACAUUCCAAGCGCGAACAGCAAGAUGGGUAUACAAAAUUUUAAUAUUUUUAGCUGUCUAGGUAGCCUAUGACUAUAGUUCCUUUUUAUUUUGGCAAUUCCCGGGGGGUAUACAUGAUUUAUAAUACAUUUCACCCUAUAAAAUAUCUUAUUCCCAUUUUGGCGCUUGGAUUGUGUGUCAAUCUUCAUUGACCUGAGAAGUUCUUGACCCACAUGUAUCCCAUAUUGCAUUGCGUAUACCUAAUGUUUAGAUGGAUUGAAAAUUACGUGACGUAAGCACUUCUAGAGUCUGAAAUAGCUGUGUUUUGAACGUUCCUCAAUUAUAGCAUUUUUACGCAGAAAAUGUUUCUCCCCGCAAUGGACCAUUUGCAUUAUAGACUAAAUUUUGAUCUAGACAAAAAUUUCAUUACAGCUUGAAAGAGCAUCACAAAAUUAGUAAUAUUCCAAAGUUUCGUUGCGAAAUGUUGUAAAAUGCGGAUAAUAUAUAGCCUUGCGAACUUUGCAAUUUUCAGUCAUUUUGUAUUACAAACGGGAAAUUGAUGCCCCAACACCCGAUUGGGCUGUCAAUUUCCCGUGCGUAAUACAAAAUGACUGAAAAACGGCAAAAUUCGCAAGGCUAUAUUAUCCGCAUUUUACAACAUUUCGCAACGAAACUUUGGAAUAUUACUAAUUUUGUGAUGCUCUUUCAAGCUGUGAUGAAAUUUUUGUCUAGAUCAAAAUUUAGUCUAUAAUGCAAAUGGUCCAUUCAUAGCGUAUGUAGGUCGGUUUGAUUUGGAGAAACACCGCCUUUAUCACCGGGAGAAAAUCCAUUCCAAAAAAUAUGGGUAUCGAACAAGCCAAAAUAAGCAAAAAUACAUUAUGCAAAUAUCAAAAAAGUUGUGGAGGGGAAGGGCAGGAUUUAAAUCCUUGGCAUUUACCUAUUCCGUCAUGCUUUCGACACCUGAUCCUGGAUCUUAAUUAGCGCGAUAUUAUCAUGCAGAAAAAUCUUGUUUCGGCAACGCAGGGUAGUAAAUGUAUAAAAAAUAUUGUUUGACAAAAAAAGUCUUCCAAAAAUCUUUUCCAGGUGCCGUUGGUUCCUUUAUGAAGCAUGCAACUAUUGUAAUGACAAGAAAAUGUAUAACUGACACAGAUAAAAUACAGUCAAAAGGCACAACAUGGGGAAACCUGACAUUUCUGGAAUUUUCCAACAACUAUUUGGAACCAGCGGCUCCAAAUUCAUGCAGAAAAUUUUGUUUCGGCAAUGUAUAAGAAAUGUCGUUUCCCCACAUUAUUCAUUACUUAUAAGAAAUUUAUUUAGUUUGCAGUUAUUUUUCUCCUAUUUUCUCCAGAUGCUGCUUGUUUCUUUGUGAAACAUGUGCAGACAGGGAUGUGUAUUAAUGACACAAGAAUACUACAGUCGGACGCGCCUUGGGGAAACUUUUCUUUUGUGGGACUUUCCAACAACUGUCUGGAUCCAGCUGCUCAGUUUCGGUUUCUUGAUAAUAGUGCCAUGUUCAAUUUGGAAAGAAAGGGAUGUCUCGAGGCAACACGUAGG